GCCAGACUCCUACGGGAGGCAGCAGUGGGGAAUAUUGCACAAUGGGCGCAAGCCUGAUGCAGCAACGCCGCGUGAGCGAAGAAGGUCUUCGGAUCGUAAAGCUCUGUCCUUGAGGAAGAAGGAAGUGACGGUACUCAAGGAGGAAGCCCCGGCUAACUACGUGCCAGCAGCCGCGGUAAUACGUAGGGGGCAAGCGUUAUCCGGAAUUAUUGGGCGUAAAGGGUGCGUAGGUGGUUUCUUAAGUCAGAGGUGAAAGGCUACGGCUCAACCGUAGUAAGCCUUUGAAACUGGGGAACUUGAGUGCAGGAGAGGAGAGUGGAAUUCCUAGUGUAGCGGUGAAAUGCGUAGAUAUUAGGAGGAACACCAGUUGCGAAGGCGGCUCUCUGGACUGUAACUGACACUGAGGCACGAAAGCGUGGGGAGCAAACAGGAUUAGAUACCCGCGUAA
rnacentral:rRNA from 1 species